rnacentral:SRP_RNA from 1 species
CGGCAAGUCUUAUACGGCCAGCUCCUGUUAAUCCUCCAGGGUGGGAACACAGCAAAGGUAUACGGUUGUAGCGGUGCGAUAUAAGUAACUUGCCAUUU